GCCAGGCGGCUAGCAGGCAACAGACAAGCGCCCCCAAACGCGCCAUCGCGAGUUGCAGCCACGGGUCUGGGAGACUUGCUAUCACCUUGCUGAUUCACUGGGGUUCCUGUAGCCUCCUUGAGCAACCUGUCAGGAAAGAAGAGAAACCUCAAAGGUAGUGGGUAUGAAUUUGCAGCCCAGACCUGUAUGUAAUAAUGUAUGUCUUUGUUCUGUAACUGAACUUGACUAAUAACUUACUUCCCAUUUUGACCUAAAAGCAGAAAACGUAAUAUGCUCACUUUUUUUUGCAAACUUAGUAAAAUUUGUGAUUAUUGAGACAUUUUAGAUCUUUCUCCAGCUCAGUUCAAAGAUUCCCUCCUCCUUCUCCAUGAAGUUUCAUCUAAGAUCUAAAGACAGAAGAUGAGAUGAAAGGACAAAGGGCCAGGGGCCAGGAAGGAAGUGGUUGUCAGGAUGGUACCACAGGACCUAAUCCUCAGUCAUCUUCCUUGGACAUCGGUGACACUCACCCUGCUGAGAUUUCCUGUCCUGUCUCACAUGAGAGAAAGGGCAGCAUCAAGAAAGAUGACAGGAUUUUGACUGGAGCAACUUAUUGAAUGGUUUAGACCAAGUUCCUUGUGUUCUCUGUUCAUCCUGACUUUAACAUUACUGGAUCCCAGAGGAAGAGGAAAGAUGGAGGCUCCCAAGCCACUGAAUAUAGGUCCUGUCUCCCUGCCUUGACAAAUACAUCUUCACAAUGACUCCCUGCCCUGACAAAUAUACCUUCAAGAUCCAAAGACAUAUGUGACUGUGUGAGUUCCUAAGGAUGAAAAUUAGCAAAAUAAUGAAGACAAAAUAAUUUUUGUUACUGUACAUCUGAUUGCACUGUUAGUGAGCUAUGUCAAUGGAUGGGUGACUAAUAAUGAAAAGCAAAAUGUAUAAAUUAUACAAUUAUUCAAAAUGAAUUUUCUUAUCUUCAUUUAAGCAAAAUAAUUGUAUUGCAAUUAAUAAGAUUUUUCACUUAUUUUGUGUUCUAUUGGUAGCAGUUAUUCUAGAUGAUUAAAAGACAGUAUGUACUUAUAUUCAAAGUGUACAAAGACAGAAUAUAGUUUUUUUAAAGUAAAGCAAAAUUAGAUAAAAACAAGGUCUUACUGUAUAG